GGACUGGCUCUAGCUCAGCCCUUCCCUAGACAAAGCAUCAGCUUUCAACUCCCCUCUGCAGAAGUGGUUUGAGGGCUGCGGGCACUCUCCAGUCCUUAG
rnacentral:vault_RNA from 1 species